rnacentral:tRNA from 1 species
GAGGGUAUAGCUCAGAGGUAGAGUGCCUGCUUAGCAUGCAUGAGAUACUGAGUUCAAUCCCCAGUACCUCCA